GCAGCCGCCACGCCCCGGGAGAGGACCGACCGCCCAGACCGCCGGUCCCGGGGCCCCCUGGGCCACGCCGAUCACGGGGAGCCCCUCGACUGCCUCCCAGAACAAAGUGGGAAAGGGAAGCUUAGCCCGCCGCUGCCGCCUCCGAGCAGCCCGCCAGGACUCUGGCUACUGGAGAUGGGCGCCCGGCUAUCGCGGCGACGGCUGCCGGCGGACCCAUCCCUGGCCCUGGACGCGCUGCCCCCGGAGCUGCUGGUGCAGGUGCUGAGCCACGUGCCGCCACGCUCCUUGGUCACGCGAUGCCGCCCAGUGUGCCGCGCCUGGCGCGACAUAGUGGACGGGCCCACUGUGUGGCUGCUGCAGCUGGCCCGCGACCGCAGCGCCGAGGGCCGCGCACUCUACGCAGUGGCUCAACGCUGCCUGCCCAGCAACGAAGACAAGGAGGAGUUCCCGCUGUGCGCCCUGGCGCGCUACUGUCUGCGCGCGCCCUUCGGCCGCAAUCUCAUCUUCAACUCCUGCGGAGAGCAGGGCUUCAGAGGCUGGGAGGUGGAGCAUGGCGGGAACGGCUGGGCCAUAGAAAAGAACCUAACACCGGUGCCUGGGGCUCCUUCGCAGACCUGCUUCGUGACCUCUUUCGAGACUGUUUGCCCUGCCCCCUGCCAUCUCUCCUUCCCAGAUGGUGCUCCAAGAGGCAGCUUGUGGACCUGGUGAUGGAAGGGGUGUGGCAGGAGCUGCUGGACAGCGCCCAGAUUGAGAUCUGUGUGGCUGACUGGUGGGGCGCUCGAGAGAACUGCGGCUGCGUCUACCAGCUCCGGGUCCGCCUUCUGGAUGUGUAUGAAAAGGAAGUGGUCAAGUUCUCAGCCUCACCUGACCCGGUCCUUCAGUGGACUGAGAGGGGCUGCCGACAGGUCUCCCACGUCUUCACCAACUUUGGCAAGGGCAUCCGCUACGUAUCUUUUGAGCAGUACGGGAGAGACGUGAGUUCCUGGGUGGGGCACUAUGGCGCCCUUGUGACCCACUCCAGUGUGAGGGUCAGGAUCCGUCUGUCCUAGCGACUGGACUACUGCCUGACGUUGUCAGUCAAGACCAGCCUUGCAGCCAGGUGCAGUGGCUCACACCUGUGGAAUCCCAGCACUUCAGGAGGCCGAGGUGGGAGGAUCACUGGAGCUCGGGAGUUCAAGACCAGCCUGGGCAACAUAGUGAAACCGUCUCCACAAAUAAUUUUUAAAAAAUUAGCCAGGCAUGGUGGUGCCGCCUGUAGUCCCAGCUACUCAGGAGGCUUGGGUGGGAGGAUUGCCUGAGACCAGGAGGUUGAGGCUGCAGUGAGCCGUGAUUUCACCACCACUCCAGCCUGGGUGAGAAAGCAAGACCCUAUAUCAAUGAAAAAAAAAAAAAAAAAGACCAGCUUUGCAGCCAGAAGCCAGAGGAUACCCAGGGACAGUAGGGCUCCCAGGUGGCUGGUUCUCAGCACACCUUCCAUGAAUCUGCUUGCUGCUGCUUCAGUGUGGUGGCCAUCAUGCUGUGUGACAAACCAGGCUGUUCACAGCUUCCUCAGCCCCCCAGAAGGGGAGUGUCAGGAAGAGACAUUUAGUUCAUUUGCCUGCAAAUUUUCUUCUCCUGCAAGGAUCUCGGUGGACUCAGUCACAAAACAAAGGCUAAACCAGGAUUUAUAAGAGAGGGCUUAUAAAUCCCUCUGCCGACGCAGGGAGCAGAGACUUGCCGGCAUGUUUUGGGGGUAAUGAUCGUGGGCAGGGAGCAGAGGUCCGCUGAGGCAGUCUGUCCUUGAGACUAACAAAGUCAUCUGCUGUUUGGGGAAAUCUCUGGUGUUGGGAACAGGCCCCCAAAUCUGGCCAUAAACUGGCCCCAAAACUGGCCAUAAACAAAAUAUCUGCAGCACUGUGACAUGUUUGUGAUGGCCAUGACCCCCACCCUGAAGGUUGUGGGUUUACUGGAACGAGGGCGAGGAACACCUGGCCCACCCAGGGCGGAAAACCGCUUAAAGGGGUUCCUGAACCACAAACCAUAGCAUAAGUGAUCUGUGCCUUAACGACAUGUUCCUGCUGCAGAUAACUAGCCAGACCCAUCCCUUUAUUUCAGCCCAUCCCUUUAUUUCCUGUAAGAAAUGUUUUUAGUUAAUCUAUAAUCUAUAGAAAUAAUGCUUAUCACUGGCUUGCUGUCAAUAAAUAUGUGGGUAAAUCUCUGUUCAAGGCUCUCAGCUCUGAAGGCCGUGAGACCCCUGAUUUCCCACUCCACACCCUA